rnacentral:lncRNA from 10 species
CUUGCAACAACUAAGCCUGUUUUCUUGCUUUGCUCAAAUGGGAGGGAGAAGUGAAGAGGAGCGAACUGGAAGAAGGGAAUGCCACUCUCCUAAUGACCCAGCUCAGGAGGUGCUAGGGGAGGAUGGAGGAAGUGAAUGACCCAGCUCAGGAGGUGCUAGGGGAGGAUGGAGGAAGUGAAUGACCCAGCUCAGGACGUGGUGAGGGAGGAUGGAGGAAGUGCUUCCCUUUAAAUGCUUCCCCUUUGCGGGGGCUCACCUAAGGCCCAGGGAGGGCCACGACUCUCAUGUGGGGCAGGCCCCACCAGCACCUCCCUCCAUCCUGCCCCCUGUCCUUCCCCUCCGUCAUCUAGAGCCAGCCUCUGCCAGCACAGCUCAGAGUCGCAUUCUCUGCUAGGCCGCCAGCCCGACUCUACAGAAUGCACACCUGGAGCCAUAUGGAAUCUCAGGAACCUGCAAGGCUUCCCUCCCACUACGCGGACUAAGGGCAAGGCUCUCAGAAACAUUUCUAGGAUGUAUGUGCUGCAAGUAGGAAGGCCAGUGGUUGAUUAGAAUGGGAUCGUACGAGUCCUAAUGGAUACGUAACGCUCGAGCAGCCGGUACAAACGGUGGGCCCUGCACGCCUCCGCUAAGUUACCUCUCACUCCACCUGUUCCACAUGGUUUUCGCUCCGCUGGGCCAAUGCCUCUACCUACAGCACGUAGAGGAACAUCAGACUGAUUUCUGCUGAACACUCCUUUUCAUCCCCCUAAGGGACAAUGCGGGUACCGUGUCCUUAGUUUUUCUCAAUCAUCUUUCUUAUUUUUCUUAAUUCCCUUAAGAACUCUGAUCUUGUUUCCCUCUCUUUGUUCUGUUUGUGAUCCUCUGAAAAUGACCCUACCCUUAAUUUAAUUAAAACGAGCUGUUUACCCACUAGAAUGAUACAGUUAAAAAGUUUGACAAUACAAAGUGUUGGCAGGGCCACAGAAUCACUGGAAUUCUUAAAUGUUGCUUAUGGGAGUGUAAAGUAAUACGUUUUAUUUGAAAAAGAGUUUACAGUCCCUUACAAAGUAAGCACACGACCCAGAAACUCUACUCCUAGGUGUUCGCACCAAGUAAUAAAAUUUAUGUUUUAAGAACAAGAAAGUUCUUAGCAGCUUUAUUCAAAAUAGCCCCACUGGUAACAACGCAUCGGUAGGUAAAUAGAUAAACACAUCGUGCUACGGUCAUACAAUGGAAUGGUACUCAGCAGUGAAAAAGAACAACAUGGAAACAUCUCAAAAUAUGACGCCAAGUGCAAGGAGUGAGACACACGAGUUCACACCGUGCAUCCUCAUUUAUGAAGUUCUCCAACAGGUGAAAGUAACAGUCCGAACCUUGAAGUUCCUCUGUCGACCCUGCCAGUCUCUUUCAGGUUCUGCUAAAGUCUUUCCUCUUCACUCUUCCUAAUUACACUUACUUUUUUUGAGCAUCGAUCUUUAAUAGAAAUUUUUAAAUGAUUUCUUAUUUAUAUUAUUAUGUAUUACUUUUC